CUCUUUUCAACUUCUUAUGUUUUUCUCCUUUUUUCCUAAUACAACAUAAAAAAAGAUAGAAAAAAAAAAGAAACAUCUACAAAAUGUAGAACUUUGUCUGUAUCACACCACCACACUUCUAUUCUCUAGUCUUCAAUAAUCCUAAUAAUACAACCCAUAAUAUUUGAGAUAGAUGUAAAGAAACUAAAGAAUAACAAUUAGAAGAAAGGGAAAAGGAAAAAUUUGUAACCACCACCCACUGUAUCAACCAACGUGGAAUCAGCUAGAGCCACCACCAUCUUUGACCAACCGUGUACACCUUCGUCAAACCUAGCCAUCGCCGAUCACCUCAAGCUCCGCUCUUGUUGUCGUGCAACAGUCAUUGCCUUCACCAAGUUACCGCCCACGACCUCCAUGGCUACACCCCAAUUGGUUUCUUUCCUCAUUUUAUCUUCUUUUACUUCACUUUCUUUAAAAGCCAUAUCUCUCUCAACAGCACACAACCGCACUACUUCUUCUGUCAUUCAUAAUGAUGUAUUCUUAUGGUUUUCUUUUACCAUUCCAGUUUGCUA
rnacentral:lncRNA from 1 species